rnacentral:rRNA from 1 species
UACGGAGGAUGCGAGCGUUAUCCGGAUUUAUUGGGUUUAAAGGGUGCGUAGGCGGAUUUUUAAGUCAGCGGUAAAAUGUCCGGGCUCAACCCGGGCCGGCCGUUGAAACUGGGGAUCUUGAGUGGGCGAGAAGUAUGCGGAAUGCGUGGUGUAGCGGUGAAAUGCAUAGAUAUCACGCAGAACUCCGAUUGCGAAGGCAGCAUACCGGCGCCCGACUGACGCUGAAGCACGAAAGCGUGGGUAUCGAACAGG